rnacentral:lncRNA from 1 species
AGAGUCAGUCUGCCUCAGUUGUGAGCAGUAUGUAAUCUCAGUCAAACUGUUUGGAACCAUAAAGAUGUUUAUUUUAACUCAGUAAAGCUUUUAUUCUUUCCCUUAAAAACUCUGCAUUAUUAAUUUACGCUGCGCGUCAUCCCUGCUGUCACAACUUACAUUGCAAGCUGCUUGAGGACAAGGGACUGCCUCCUUUUGCUUAUGAAACUCUUGUAAAGUGCCAAUUGUGUUGGUAGCACUGAAUAAACAAUAAACAUUAAUGGACCCAAUCCAUUCAAAUCUGUUAAAAUCUUGACAUAAAAGUUUACAGGUUGCCAACUGAGCGCCACAAGAUAAUAUUGUUUUUGUUACCUUCUGCUGAAGAGAGGCUGCCAACAUUUUAAUAUCUAUUUUUAACCUCAGAAUUGUAACUGCUCACGUACCAUAUUAUUCUAUAUACUAGAACACAUACUUAUUCAUAUAUUUCAGGGAUGGGGAACCAGUGCCCUCCAAUCAACCCCCAUGGCCAAUGGUCAAGGAUGAUGGGAGCUGUGGAGCCCCAAUAUAUUUGAACAACACUUUCAAAAUCUGAACAACACUUUCAAAAUUUCAGUCAGAGGAUUUUACUCAUUUCAGCUCAAAGAUAUUCUAGAAAAGCAUAAUGGGCCAGAUUCAGCUAUGCUGUUAUGCUAGUGGAAGCCAGUGCAAUGAGUCCUCCUAGUGCAAAAGGACUUCCUCCCUUCUCCACCCCCCACGCCCUCCUUAUCCUCCCCAAAUCUGCUCAGAAUGAUUGGGAUGAACCCCAGAACGGGGGGCGGGGGGGGGCAUGGAGGAAAACAAGAGAAACUGUUCAUAUUUUGCAUAUUCAGCAAGCAGAAAUGUUUUCGCUGAUAUAACAAUUGUCUUAGCACAACAUUGAAUCCCACCAUUGUGGUCCUGUAAUCUGUUAUCAGCUGUUCAGAACAGACUGCAUUAUGAACAUGUGAAAAUGUGCAUUAUAUGGGGGCCUUCCUGUUCCCCUGUGUAUAUUUAGGAGUGUGUGCAUGAAGAAAAAUAUUCAUCCAUCCCCUACUCAGAGAAUUGACUUGGGAAAUAGCCGGACUCUGAGGAAAGCCAAUGCCAGAAAGCCAUACUAACAAAAUUGCAACAAACCGGCAAAAUUUCUUACCAACAAGAGAAACUGGAAAAUGGAAACUAUCCCUGAAGAGGGAGGAUUGGAGCAUAGGGCAUAGCUGUCAACUUACAGAUUUGAAAAUAAGGGACCAGCAGCCUUGAAAAUAAGGGACCAGCAGCCAAAAUAAGGGACCUGCAGCCUCACCUGUUCCAGGCACUCCAGUCUUCCUGUCCUCCUGCAGUCUGGUCAAACUCAUGUUGGUAGCUUCGAGAACACUGUUGAGCCAACUUUGUAACCAGAGGUUCAAUUGAAUAGAAUCUGAAUCACAUGCACCACAAGGCCUAUGCAGCCUCAACUUAAGAUGGCUCCCUGGCCUAGCUUUGCACUGCAAAGUUUGCAGCAGCACGUGCAACAAAAUGGCGUCCAGCAUUCAAAAACCCCCUCAGCUUGCAUUAACUAGCCACACACAAGGCAUGCAAGCUCCACCCCCCAGUCGUUCUUAGACUUCUUAUUGGGUGAGCAACACAGCCAAGCAACACAGUUGGAGCCUCCCUCCUCCCUGGCCAGCAGGGAGGGAGGGAGAGGAGCUGCUUCCUUUGAAAUUUAAGGGACAUCAUUUAAGGGACAUCAUUUAAGGGACAUUUAAGGGACAUCUAUCAAUAAGGGACAGCAGCGGGACAUGGCGCUGGAAUAAGGGACUGUCCCUUCAAAUAAGGGACACUUGACAGCUAUGGCAUAGGGUAUCCAUAAUUUCUUUGUGUUAAGAAUCAGAUUUCAGGCAUUUAUUAUAAUGAGUCUUUUAGCAUUCCUUCAGAACCCUUCAGAAAUUAGGUUGAAGCAGAUUUAUUAUGUGGGACUGAAGCCAGAUAGAAAGCCUAGUCCAAAUUAAAAUCAAUAAUAAAGUAGUUCGAAAGUGCUUUUGGAUACUCACUUUUCUAUUCAUACUUUUGGGGCAAAACGAGGCUUUCCUUCCCUGAUUUUGGAGCGAAGCGCCCUUUUUAAGGAAGCAUCAGAGCGCAAAGUCACCACCUCAUUGCAAUAUGUUAUUGUGUUUUAAAUUAUACUUUUUUUAAUGAGUGCUUGCUUCACUUACCUCAUUUUCAUAUCUGCAUUAGCACAGCACUAGCAAAAUACAAUUCCCCAUGAAAUAUGUUUUUCAAGAAUCUAUUUAGAUAGAAACAAGCAUGAUGGAACAAUGUUCUUCAUACAUAUUCCUAAUCAAAAUGAACUUUAAUUAGACUAAGUCUGUAACAACUGUGCCGGGAGCAAGCAUCACUACCUUUCAGAAACAAUUUCCAAUGAACCUUGCUAGGUGUUGCCUUGACAGUAGGACUUAGGAGCCACUGCAGUAAUAAUGUAGUAUUAUUUAUAAAAUAAUAAGUAGAAAAAAUAAAGGGUAAUUCAGUUGCAUUCACAAGAGCCACCAUUUCAUAAGUGGGGCAAUAAUAAUAAUAAUAAUACCCUGCCCAUCUGACUGGGUUGCCCCAGCCACUCUGGGUGGCUUCCAAUGCAUAUAAAAACAUAAUAAAAAUUACAUAUUAAGAAGCUUUCCUAUUCAGGGCUGCCUUCAGAUGACAUCUAAAGGUUAUAUAGUUACUCGUCUCCUUCACAUCUGUAGACAGCAGACAGCUGUAGAGAAUGACAAGCUGUAGAUAUCUACCAGUGAAACAUUUUCCUAUCCCACUCAUUUCAAGCUACCUAGAAGGAAAGAAAGAUGAUCCGGCAACAUUACUGAAACCUUGUUGUACAAUAUAAAUGUGAAUUAUGAACUAACACAAUACUCCAAUUCUAUUUACAUUCCAGGCUUGUUAAUCUCCCUCGGCUGGAUUCUUCCUCUUGUUUCACUUCUUCUUAGGCUUCAGCAUAGUUGAUCUAUCGAACUGAACAAAUGCAUUAGGUGAUCAGAGAGAUCGUGGGAGGUGGGCUGCGGUUAGCUUCUGCACGGCAGCAAGCCCAGCCUGGCCAGAUGUGAAGUUGGGGAGGGAGGAGGAAGUGAUGCUGUGCAGUAACAGCAUUGCUGCUUGGAACACUCUCCCCCUUUCAACUAUGCCUGGAGGUGAGUGCAAGCAGGGUUGGGGGCAAGGGCAUAAGGGACUUAGGAGUUGGGUGCUUUUUACCUUUUGCCUUUUACAGCAAAAGCAUCUGAGUGCACUAAAAGUGAGCAGAAGGAAGGACAGGCAGGAUCCACUGAUCUUGCAGUAAGAAUGCAAAAGUGGAGAAGCAAGGUGGUGGAGAUCCUGGGGGGGGGGGAUAGAGGGUGGCGUAGGGUGUGCAUUAUGAGCACCACAUUAAUGAAGUUUAGGCUUUCUUUCUUUUUUUACUCACACAUUUUUACUCCCAGGCCUUCACUGAUGGUUGAUCUCUGUGUAUUAUAACUUUAACUCUCCUCUGAUUUUUCAGUUGCAAAACACAGAAAAGCAAGAAACAUUGGUCAUUGGCUCAUAUGGCCCAGUAUUGUCUACGCUGACUGGGUGUAAGCUUGGAGGGCUUGUGAUGUUCACCUAAAGAAAAGUGAGCAUGGUUGGGCUCCUGAAUUUUUCUCCAGCAAAGAAAUCAAAACUAAAGAAGACUUCCUAACUCUUCCCUCACCGUGACAAACACAAUUGCCUUGAACUACCUCCCUGCCUUUUCUUCAAACAACAUUUUCCCGAACACAGGAUCAGUGCUGAUAGCACUCAAACCAUGGGAAGAGGGAAGUGGGGAGAUCUCUCCUUCCCCUCUCUUGAAACCACAGUAGGAAGCAAGGCUCUGGUGGAAGUCUUCGUUAAAUAGCUAGUUAUUUUUACACAGUAGACUU